rnacentral:lncRNA from 1 species
GUUGGAUCCGCUAGUUCCUUACGCUGAACUACUCGUCAAAUUGGGGAUCGACAAUGGUUUUGUAGACUCCGCUUUGGCAAACAGUUCCACGGUUGAGACGUCAUCUUGCGUCUUGGAUCUUGUGAACGCAUUCGCCAUGAAAUUCCUGAUGAAGAGAUGAACCGCUAGGACAGGCGAUUUACAUCUGAUGUUUCCCUCAAGUCGACGGAAUGGGAGCCAGAGAUAGAAUUCACAAUUGCCUCGUCGGAUGUUGCAGUCUGGUAACUGGUUCCUUCUGUGUAUGGUGUAUGCGACCCUGACUGCGUGCCAUGACUUUAACAGGCAGACGCAGACGGUCUCAAUCGUAGGGACGACCAGGUAGGGCAAUUGUGCUUCCUGCUAGGCGCUGAAUCCCUUUUGCCUCCUAUUCCAAAUUUGCUAGUUGAUCAUUCCCUGUCUUUUCAUACUCAUACU